CUGGCUCCUGCUUUCCUCUUUUUGUUCUGUUCCAUCCAGCGCGUUUUCCAAGGUUUCAGUGAUGUCGAUUGGUGUGCAUUACCCGGAAGUACUGAGGUCCUUCUGCGGUUUCCAGCUUGGUGCUGUAUGGGAGCGACGUCACCUCUUUCGGGAACCUUGUUUUUACAUAUCUAGUCCCGUCUUCGAUGCUUGUACCGGGAUAUUGCCUCCUUUUUAUUUUUGAUAUGGGUGUUACUCCCCAUCCCGUCAGCUUUUGGAUGAUGACUUCAUCGUCCAGGUAAACAGUGUCCAAAGCCCAGGCUGACCCCCCACCCCUUCAACCUUUGCAGCAAUGCUGGCAGCACUAUUUCCCAAAGACAACCUCUGGAUAUGACGCUGAGCACGUGCACUCAACUUCUUCUUUGGUCGACCAUGGCGAGGCCUGUUCUGAGUGGAACCUGUCCUGUUAAACCGCUGUAUGGUCUUGGCCACCGUGCUGCAGCUCGGUGUCAGGGUCUUGGUAAUCUUCUUAAAGCCUAGGUCAUCUUUAUGUAGAGCAACAAUUAUUUUUUUCACAUCCUCAGAGUUCUUUGCCUUGAGGUGCCAUGUUGAACUUCCAGUGACCAGUAUGAGGGAGUGUGAGAGCGAUGACACCAAAUUUAACACACCUGCUCCCCAUUCACACCUGAGACCUUGUAACACUAACAAGUCACAUGACACCGGGGAGGGAAAAUGGCUAAUUGGGCCCGAUUUGGACAUUUUUACUUGGGGGUGUACUCACUUUUGUUGUCAGCGGUUUAGACAUUAAUGGCUGUGUGUUGAGUUAUUUUGAGGGGAUGGCAAAUUUAC
ensembl:lncRNA